UGCCAGCCGCCGCGGUAAUACGUAAUCCCCGAGCGUUACUCGGAAUUACUGGGUGUAAAGGGUUCGUAGGUGGGCUUUUAAGUCAGAUAUGAAAGACCGAGGCUCAACCUCGUGUUUGUGUUUGAAACUGAAAGUCUAGAGUUAGGAAGAGGUAAGCGGAAUUCUAAGUGUAGGGGUGCAAUCCGUAGAUACUUAGAAGAACACCAAAAGCGAAGGCAGCUUACUGGUACUAUACUGACACUGAGGAACGAAAGCGUGGGGAGCGAAAGGGAUUAGAUA
rnacentral:rRNA from 1 species